UACGUAGGGGGCAAGCGUUGUCCGGAAUCAUUGGGCGUAAAGAGCGUGUAGGCGGCCCGGUAAGUCCGCUGUGAAAGUCCAGGGCUCAACCCUGGGAUGCCGGUGGAUACUGUCGGGCUCGAGUCCGGAAGAGGAGUGUGGAAUUCCUGGUGUAGCGGUGAAAUGCGCAGAUAUCAGGAGGAACACCAGUGGCGAAGGCGGCACUCUGGGCCAGUACUGACACUGAGGAGCGAAAGCGUGGGGAGCGAACAGG
rnacentral:rRNA from 1 species